CUACGGGGUGCAGCAGUGAGGAAUCUUGGACAAUGGGCGAAAGCCUGAUCCAGCGACGCCGCGUGGGUGACGAAGGCCUUCGGGUUGUAAAGCCCUGUCAGAGGGGAAGAAGUUCUGACGGUACCCUCAGAGGAAGCACAGGCUAACUCCGUGCCAGCAGCCGCGGUAAUACGGAGGUGUGCAAGCGUUGCUCGGAAUCACUGGGCGUAAAGGGCGCGUAGGCGGCUUGGUAAGUUGGAUGUGAAAGCCCUCGGCUCAACCGAGGAACUGCAUCCAAAACUGCCUGGCUAGAGUACGGAAGAGGAAGGCGGAAUUCCCAGUGUAGGGGUGAAAUCCGUAGAUAUUGGGAAGAACACCAGUGGCGAAGGCGGCCUUCUGGGACGAUACUGACGCUGAGGCGCGAAAGCGUGGGGAGCAAACAGGAUUAGAUACCCCAGUAGUC
rnacentral:rRNA from 1 species